GAAACAUUUGUCAGUGAGAAAUAAUUGGCAUGGUUACACUUACACUCAUAAUAUUGUCCAUUGUUUGGCAACUACCCGAAGAGAGAUCUUGUGUCUUGCCCACAACAAACCCUUAGUAUGCUGGUCUGGAGCAUGUGGAACCUACAUAAAGGUUGUACAGGAAUAAUCCUGCUUUGGCUGCAUACGUCACUUUUGGGUCAAGUUACACUCAGAUGAUCUCUCUUCGUUAAAUGACAUCACAUACCUGCUGUAACAAAGCAACAAUUUGACUUGCAAGCAAUGCCAGCUGCCAGGAGAGCUAAUGUGUCUUCUUGACCAAGACAACAGUAAGACUUUCAAUCAAAUAUUGCAUUUUAUAUAUAUAAAUAAAUAAAUAUGCUUUACAA
rnacentral:lncRNA from 1 species